rnacentral:rRNA from 1 species
AUUGAACGCUGGCGGCAGGCCUAACACAUGCAAGUCGAACGAGCGGCGGACGGGUGAGUAAUGUCUGGGGAACUGCCCGAUAGAGGGGGAUAACUACUGGAAACGGUGGCUAAUACCGCAUACUAUCGGAUGAACCCAUAUGGGAUUAGCUAGUAGGUGGGGUAAAGGCUCACCUAGGCGACGAUCCCUAGCUGGUCUGAGAGGAUGACCAGCGACACUGGAACUGGGACACGGCCCAGACUCCUACGGGAGGCAGCAGUGGGGAAUAUGGCACAAUGGGCGCAAGCCUGAUGCAGCCAUGCCGCGUGUAUGAAGAAGGCCUUAGGGUUGUAAAGUACGUUCAGCGGGGAGGCGUUACCCGCAGAAGAAGCACCGGCUAACUCCGUGCCAGCCGCCGCGGUAAUAC